rnacentral:rRNA from 1 species
UACGAAGGGGGCUAGCGUUGUUCGGAAUUACUGGGCGUAAAGCGCGUGUAGGCGGCUUGGCAAGUCGGGUGUGAAAGCCCUGGGCUCAACCUAGGAAGUGCACUCGAAACUGCCUCGCUUGAAUGCCGGAGAGGAAAGCGGAAUUCUCGGUGUAGAGGUGAAAUUCGUAGAUAUCGAGAGGAACACCGGUGGCGAAGGCGGCUUUCUGGACGGUGAUUGACGCUGAGACGCGAAAGCGUGGGGAGCAAACAGG